rnacentral:lncRNA from 10 species
CUGGAGUUUACACUAAACGGCCAGAUUUAGAGGAUGUGAUAUUGUGGGGCUUCAAGAACAGAAAGGAAGCUUUCCCCUUUCUACGGUAAGCUUUCUUUUCCCACUGUCUUUUAUUUUACUUUCUCCCUUUGGAUCCUAGGAUACUGAAAAUGUGAAGGUGCUUGCUGAAAUACAAGAACCAAAAUUUGAAACCACAAAAGCAGAGUGAAACUGCUGAGAUGCUACUUUAGAGUUCUGGAAAAUGAGAUGCUUCCCCAAUUUCACAUUCAGUAACCAUGACAUUUUAUAGCUGGAGGAUAUACAGUAAGAGCUGUGAGAAGAGAGUGACCAUCUUCCAGACCCCAAAAAGGUAGAUCCACUGACAGCUCAUACUGUGCACCUGGAAAAGCUGCAGGCACUCAACAUCAGACCAUGAAAGCAGCCACAAGGGCUGGAACUCUAGUUGUAAUAUGCGUGCCUCAUUCUUAAGUCUUUGUAUAUUGUGCUGUAACUAUUCUUCUAGAUGUACUUUUAAUGCUCUGUCACUGUGUGGUGGAGAAGAAUGCACAUUUUCUAAUCCAAGUUCUAUUCUUUUAUAGUUAUUUGUACUGUAAUUAUGAUAUAAUGGUUUGUGGAACAAGUUUUGAAUUGGUUUUGUAUUCUUAUUAAGUGUCUGUAACAACAGAAACACUACGCUUUUUCUUUUUCUCACAUACUUAAUUUCUCUGGAGCAGGUAAGCCACAAAUCUAAAAGGCUUGUUGGAUCACUAAACUGAGGCACAUUUCUGAUGUCCAAUUUGCAAUUAAUGUUAUGUUGGUGAUUUUUUCAUCAUGUACCUAUAACACUCUUGGUCUUCUUUUAUUUCAAUUGUAACUACUUCUGGG